rnacentral:rRNA from 1 species
GAUGAACGCUAGCGGCGUGCCUAAUACAUGCAAGUCGAGCGAACAGACGAGUAGCUUGCUCCUCUGACGUUAGCGGCGGACGGAUGAGUAACGCGUGGAUAACCUACCUAUAAGACUGAGAGAACUACGGGGAACCGGCGCUAAUACCUGAUCAUAUAUUUAACCGCAUGGUUCAAUAGUGGUAGACGGAUUUGCGUUCACUUAGAUGUGUAUCCGCGCCGCAUGAUCGUGUGGGUAAGGUAACGGCUUACCAACGCAACGAUGCGUAGCGGAACUGAGAGGGUGAUCGGACACACCGGAACUGAACCGAGGCCCAGACCCGUACGCUAGGCAGCAGUAGGGUAACUUCCGCAAGGGGCUAAAGCCUGACGGAACACCGCCGCGUGAGUUAAGAAGGUCUUCGGCUCGGAAAUCUAUGUUACUAGGGAAGAACAAAUGUGUAAGUUUCUUUGCACGACUUGACGGUACCUUAUCAGUAAGCCACGGCUAACUACGUG